rnacentral:sRNA from 1 species
GUCUGGCGAUCCGUAUCGCUGAGAACAUUGCAAUUGCAGAAGAAAUCUUGAAACUCGACAGCUCGUUUUUCGUUUCCAAAACUUUCUCCAGCAAACUUGAGGCAUCGCUGGAAGAGACUCGAGUUGGCACCUCCGUAUUUGUCGAGGAACUCUUUAAUGUGCUCGCAGAAAUAUUUCCACGCGUAUUGCUGUCCCAUAUGA